GCAAAAUUGGAGUACUUCAAGUUUGCAGGCUAGGUUAAUUGAGGUCGGGCGUACAUGGAGUCGAGGCAUAGCCAACAGCAUUGCUUCCGCGUACUCAUUCUAUUUCUGUGUUCUUUACUACCUAAUGGAAUAGUAUUGCUCUGAUAACCUGUGAAAUUAAUCUUGUAAUGUGGGUUGAGAUUGUUAUUUGUGAAAUUGGAAGUUGAUGUUAUUUGGGGAGCAGGGUGGCUCCAGGAGAAUAAGGAUGGAUGAUUUAGAAGUGUAAAUGUUUUCUACAGGUUUUGGGUAGUCCAUUUUUAGGGGAAGUUCUGCCAAAUUUUUGGUAGAAUUUCUUCUAAGGUGGGCCCCGCAGGGCCUCUUCGGAUUUCGGAGUGAAAUUCAGAGCGGGUCCUGUCACUGUUGAUGGGCACGUGAGAACCCAAUUUUAAAUGACCAUUUCACCCCUCCGUUGAGAGGGAUGGCGCCACAGUAAAGAGUUUCUUACCCACUGCAACUUCUUUGUCGUUUGUGAAUCAGGAAAUGACGAUUCUGCCUUUCCGUUAACAGAUGUUUAGGGCGCAGCGUGCGCAACGCUCAUUCCAGAAAUUGCCUGCAGCAGGUAGUCAGCCAUAAUCAACUUUGAGCGACUCUCUCAAAAAACUCUAACUUGAAGUGGAGUAGACGGAAGAAAAAAAGAAUGAGGAAGCGCAUUGAGGAAUGGCAGGUCUAAAAGACAAAUUUCUGUUUUUACUGGGAGAAAAUCCGAAAUUGAAGAGAAGAAGAUGGGAGGAAGGAUGGUGUGUUGAGGAAGGAUGGGUCACAGCACUCGCAAGUUUUUCUUCUAAUGUCAUGAUUUGUUUUUACUACUGUACCUGCAACAUAAUUAGUUGUAAAACAAAAAUAAAUCGGGGUUUUAUACGUUCGUGUCCCAAUUUUUUUUUUUUUUGUCAUUG